CGUGAUUACUGUUACUGCUACUCAAAAAUCACAGUGAAAAGUAGCAGUGAUUUUUCACAGGAUAACCUAAAAAUACCGCCGUCUCCGACACUUCCUUGACUCUGGUCGGAUCACAUGUGAAAAGUAGCAGGUGGCGGUUAUGCUGUGAUUUAUCACAGGUUAACCUUAUCAAACGAUCCUUCCCAAAUGCUUUCUACAUCUUCAAAAUUAAAAGUCAACCAUGCAGUGACAGAGCACUCCGUGGGUUCACUAUUGGAUUCACUGCUACUUUCACCUGUGAUUUAUCACUGGUUGACGUCACUACCCACAAUGCAUUGUAAUAUUCGGAGAUUUCACGUGAUUGGCUAUCCGCCCUAUCUAGUCCUAUGGUGCUACUCUGCUCUGCCACUGUUAUCAUGCUGCUCUUUUUAAACUGCUACUGCUCUUUUUGCUUCGUUAUCGCAAUCGCAGUGUAUCCAACUGUGACUAUGAUUAACCAUGUGCAAGCUUAUUCGUAAAUUUUUUUCGCCGUUUAACACUAAAGUUUUGGUUACUCACUGUUUAACUAUCAGCGACUAACUUUUGAUGAAAACUGCCCAAAAAAGAGCAGAAUAACAGGUGUUCCUCGCCAGUCACAGUGAUCGAUCACUGCUACUCAA